UAUGGUUUUAGUUGCAGUAUCCGUGGGUGGGUAUGUUAUAUAUUGCAUAGGGAAAUACAUAUCAUCCUAAUGAUUGUUAUUUGCUGCAGGUUUGCUAUACAUAGAGAAAUACAUAUCCAAUGCAAAAUAAUAUUUUAAAUGUGGCAUGCAUAUAGUACAGUUUACUCUUAUUUUCCAGUUUCAUCUUGUUUUUUUUUUUUUUUUUUUUUUUUUUAAAUCUGGAUAUUGGUAAAGAAACAAUAUUUUGGGCUUAAAGUUUGGGUUUAGAGAGUUGCUAAAGGCUUUUUUUUUUUAAUAUUUUGGAUUUAAAGUUUGGGUUUAGAGAGUUGCUAAAGGCUUUUCUUUUAAUAUUUUGGGCUUAAAGUUUGGCAAUACGUUGGACUUAUCAUAUUUAGGCUUAUAAAUUGGGUUUAGAAAAUAAUACCAAAAACAAGUAAUUAAAUAAAAAAAAUUAAUUUAAUUAAUUCGGUUUGAUUCAAUUUCUAGACCACUGAAAUCGAAACUGAACCAGAAGAAUUCUGAGUUCGGUUCUGUUCGGUUUUAUUUUUUUCAGUUUUUUUUUUUGUUUAACCCACAGUUAAUUAUUAGCAUGCCCAUUGCAGCAUACCCUAAUGUUUGAAGUUAUAACAGUAGCAACCUUAAUUUUUGGAUUGUCUAUUGAUGUCUCACUUGAAAAGUCACAAUAGAUUCGCUUCCUCUUUCCUGCCAUAGUGAUAUUCUUCGAGAAGAAAAAUUAACAAAGUUAAACUAUGCAUCACAUUAGUAGCUUCUCCAAUUGCCAUAACUAUAUGAAAAUGCAAAGAUCAAAACAUGCAAGUACAUCACAUUAGUUUCCAUAUCUAUUGUCCUUUGAAAACUAUGUAACAUCUUAAACGUCUCUUGAUCAUCAUGAUUCUCACUAUCACUAUCAGUGAAUACAUCUCAAAAUGUAUGUCUAAGGAACAUCCAACUUCGAGCCAUUGCUAAAAAUUAUUAUCUAUAUCUUAUAAAUCAAAAUCCACAUAUAAUUCACAACAUGGACAACAUGAGAGGUUAAAACAAUAAAAUUAAAAGUCAAACAACUUACCAGAUGGUAUACUCAAUGAUUUCCAACUAGAAUUACAGUUCUCCUACUGCCAAUUGAAAAAAUAUAACAACACAACCCUUAGUUGAUCAAAAUCAGCUGUUUUGAAUUGAAACUUACAAGAGGUCAUGGUAUAAAUGGU
rnacentral:lncRNA from 1 species